ACUCAUACACGAGCAUAAUUAAUAUUAUAUAUAGGUACAUAAAAAAAAAAAGAAUGGGCAUAACAUCGAUUACGUGGUGUGCGGAAAAAUAUCGGAAACACAUACGAUUGCUAAAUAUAAUAUAUAAAAACGCACAUUCGAUUAAUGUCUCGGUAUAGGUUCCUACGUGUAUAGUAAUAUAAUAUCCUAGUCCACUGCAACCGUGUAAUAUAAAAUACCGUAGGUAUAUGGUGCCACGAGGGUAUACCUACCUGCCUGCGAUAUAUUUUGAUCACCGAGCGUUGCAGUUUAUGAAAUUUACGAUUAAGCUCGGUGAUUAUCAUAUGGAUCCAAAGUCGAGACGGAAAAUUUCGGGACGUAAUAUCGGCGGUGGACGUUGAAGUUUGAGUUUGUCGCCAUCGUGUGGAAAUCGGCUGCGACGAAGAUCACUGUCGUGGCGACUCGCGUCAUCGUCGUAGUUAUUCGUUGCACUGUUGCCUGCUGGCACCCACCAACACGGUCGACGAAGACUCGAUGAGACGACUGAUGCUCUUGGGCCACCACCGCCGCCGCAGCCUAUUUGUCGUUCGUCGCCGUCGCUGUACCUUCGCCUCCGCUAGGAAAUCGUACUGUUGUGAUGGCAUCACUCCGCGGUGGUUGUCCUACUCGUUUGCUGGAGCGGCGGUAGUCGUGGUGGUCGUUGUCGUAAUCGUCUUCGUGAUCGUCGGCGGGUAUUCGUUGAACGAAACUGAUUAGCAGCUGCUGCUGUGACGUAUUAACGAUUUUCUUCUGCGGAGGAGUGGUGUCAGAAACAUAAUAUGCGUCUCAUGAACAGUCAGCAGUCUCCCUCUGGUUUCGUUUUAACUUAUAUUACCUACAUUUAUGUAAGGUGUUGUUAUAUAUAUCCAUAUGCCCAUAUAGGCUAUGUUAAUAUGUUAUUACUUAUUAUCAACGAACUCAUUAAUGAAAACACACUGAAAUUUAAUAAAAAUAUCUGGUACCUACACAGUACACUGUA